UACAGAGGGUGCGAGCGUUGUCCGGAAUCACUGGGCGUAAAGGGCGCGUAGGUGGCGUCGCAAGUCCAUGGUGAAAGCUCGAUGCUCAACAUCGAGUCGGCCACGGAGACUGCGGGGCUCGAGCACUGUAGGGGCAGAUGGAAUUCCGGGUGUAGCGGUGGAAUGCGUAGAGAUCCGGAAGAACACCGGUGGCGAAGGCGGUCUGCUGGGCAGUUGCUGACGCUGAUGCGCGACAGCGUGGGGAGCAAACAGG
rnacentral:rRNA from 1 species